AGAGUUUGAUCCUGGCUCAGGACGAACGCUGGCGGCGUGCCUAACACAUGCAAGUCGAGCGGAGAUAUUAGUAAUAAUAUUUUAGCGGCGGACGGGGGGGAUUAGUAAUAAUAUUUUAGCGGCGGACGGGUGAGUAACGCGUGGGCAACCUGCCUCACACUGGGGGAUAACACAAGGAAACUUGUGCUAAUACCGCAUAACACCAUGAGAGGACAUCCUUUAGCGGUCAAAGGAGCAAUCCGGUGAGAGAUGGGCCCGCGUCCAAUUAGCUAGUUGGUGAUGUAACGGACCACCAAGGCGACGAUUGGUAGCCGAACUGAGAGGUUGAUCGGCCACAUUGGGACUGAGAUACGGCCCAGACUCCUACGGGAGGCAGCAGUGGGGAAUAUUGCGCAAUGGGGGAAACCCUGACGCAGCAACGCCGCGUGAAGGAUGAAGGUUUUCGGAUUGUAAAACUCUGUCGUCUGGGACGCUUCAGGGAAGAACAGAAAGACGGUAGCAGAGGAGGAAGCCCCGGCUAACUACGUGCCAGCAGCCGUGGUAAUACGUAGGGGGCAAGCGUUGUCCGGAAUGACUGGGCGUAAAGGGUGCGUAGGCGGUUGAUUAAGUCCGGUGUGAAAGAUCAGGGCUCAACCCUGAGAGUGCAUCGGAAACUGCCAGACUAGAGGGUUGGAGGGGGUGGCGGAAUCCCCGGUGUAGAGGUGAAAUUCGUAGAUAUUAGGAGGAACACCGGUGGCGAAGGCGACUUCCUGGCCAGAUACUGACACUGAGGCGCGAAAGCGUGGGGAGCAAAUAGGAUUAGAUACCCUAGUAGUCCCACGCCGUAAACGAUGAAUGCUAGGUGUCGGGGGUAUCGACCCCCGCGGUGCCGCAGUUAACGCAAUAAGUAAUCCGCCUGGGGAGUAUGCACGCAAGUGUGAAACUCAAAGGAAUUGACGGGGGCCCGCACAAGCGGUGGAGUAUGUGGUUUAAUUCGAAGCAACGCGAAGAACCUUACCAAGUCUUGACAUACCGUGCAAAGCCCUGGAGACACAGGGGAAUUUAUAUGGCGGAUACAGGUGGUGCAUGGUUGUCGUCAGCUCGUGUCGUGAGAUGUUGGGUUAAGUCCCGCAACGAGCGCAACCCUUGUCUUUAGUUGCCAGCAUGAAGUUGGGAACUCUGAAAGAACUGCCGGUGACAAACCGGAGGAAGGUGGGGAUGACGUCAAAUCAUCAUGCCCCUUAUGUCUUGGGCUACACACGUACUACAAUGGCCUGAACAGAGGGAAGCAAAACUGCGAAGUUAAGCGAAUCCCUUAAAACAGGUCCCAGUUCGGAUUGUAGGCUGCAACUCGCCUACAUGAAGUCGGAAUCGCUAGUAAUCGCAGGUCAGCAUACUGCGGUGAAUACGUUCCCGGGCCUUGUACACACCGCCCGUCACACCACGAAAGUUGGCAACACCCGAAGCCGGUGACUUAACCCGAAAGGGAGAGAGCCGUCGAAGGUGGGGUUAGUAAUUGGGGUGAAGUCGUAACAAGGUAACCC
rnacentral:rRNA from 1 species